rnacentral:rRNA from 1 species
GACGAACGCUGGCGGCGUUCCUAAUACAUGCAAGUCGACCUUAGUGGCGAACGGGUGAGUAACACGUGGGUAACCUGCCCAUCAGACGGGGAUAACACUUGGAACCAGGUGCUAAUACCGUAUACUGAUGGAUGGACCCGCCGUGCAUUAGCUAGUUGGUGAGGUAACGGCUCACCAAGGCCACGAUGCACAGACACCCUGUGAGUGUGUUCGGCCACAUUGGGACUUAGACCCGUCCCAAACUCCUACGGGAGGCAGCAGUAGGGAAUCUUCGGCAAUAGACGACAGUCUGACCGAGCAACGCCACGUGAGUGAAGGAGGUUUACGGAUCGUAAAGCUCUGUGAUUAGGGAAGCGGUAUCUGACCAGAAAGCCACGGCUAACUACGUGCCAGCGGCCGCGGUAAUU